rnacentral:hammerhead_ribozyme from 1 species
AUCCAGCUAGUGACGAGUCGCAAAAAGGACGAGAUGCGCAUCCUGGAU